GCUUUGGUACAUUUCUCAGGCAGAUCAACUGAAAUUCUCAAAACUAUAUGUUCAGCGUCCACAUCAUCUCACUUGUGCUCAUUAUUAAAGCAGUUUGUCGAUUUUUGAACAAGUAGCAAAUGCUUCGGUACAUUCAUGCGAUUGAUCAUGUACAGUUGUCUGCUGUUUCCUACAUUAUCAAUUGCUUGUGUCAUGUUGCUCAAAAAGUCUGUUUCUCUGUUGAAUAGUUUAACCCACUGGUCACCAACCUUUUCAAGCCCAAGAUCCCUGACCUCUGCUUUGAUGAAAGGCAAGAUCUAUGGUAGUUAUGACGUUGUAGGGCGUCGUUACCAUAGCAACAGUUCAAACAAAGCCGCACACAGAUCAUUGGCUGAUAUUUGACGUGUUUUAUCUCGGUUUCUGCGUCUGAUUAACGGUUAUUAGAUCCGUUCGCUUUGAUCGUGUCUGGCUUUGCGUCGCGCUUUUGAGCAAAUGUCUGCGGCGGGAUUUCUGCGGGAAACGGAAGCUCUCCGAAGACUAGUGUGUAGAGAGGAGAGAGAGGCGAGGAGGCACGAGCUCAGAGACGCUUCCAGCGCGCUCCGGGAUCACAUGAACGCGCAGCUCGCGGCGGACGUCAUGAAAGUUGAGCAGCAGCUGCAGAAACUCAAGAACGACGUCUUCAGAUUCCAGGAGCAGCUGAUGGAUGUCAAACCGUCUCCAGACGUGAUCGACAAAUUAAGAGAGACCAUGACCGAUAUUGAGAACUCCAUCAGUGCUUUCAAAGACACGCAACAUCAGAGUUUUGAGGAGCUCCUGAAAGACGAGAGGAGCGUCUGGCAGGAGAUCUGCGCCUUCGAGAGGAAGAUGGACUCCUGGAGUCUGUCUGUGAGAGCCGAGGCCUGUCCUCGUCGCUCCGAGAAGCCGUGCGACUGGAGGAGUGUCCCGGAGGAGGUGACGGCGCUCCAGACCUUCCUCCAGCAGACGGGAGGCAGAGCCGGCGGCUGGGACGAGUUCGACCACCGCAGCUUCCUGAAGGUGUGGACCAAGCACCGAGGAAAGCCCUCGUACAGACGAGAAGCACGGCUUUAUUUACCUGAGAAGACGGAGGAGGAGGUGAAGCGGCACGAGGAGUGGUUUCUGGAGCUGCGCCGGCUGCAGGACGACAAGAGAGAGGCCAUCUGUCGAUGGAGAGCGUGCAAGCGGAGGGAGCGGGAGCAGCAGCGGGAGCAGCGUGACGGAGACGAGGAGCCGCAGGAGGACGAGGAGGAGCAGGAGGAGCAGCGCAGGGAGGCGUCUGAGCGGCUGGAGGCCUGGAGGAGGUGCAGAACACAGCAGAGAGAGCAGGAGCGACAGCAGCAGCUCAGAGACCAGAUCCUGCAGACGAGAAGAGCCAAAGAGGAGCGGCGCCGGCAGCUGGAGCUCAAGCUGCUCGUGGAGACGCACCUCCAGCAGAAGAAGGAGCAGGAGGAGCAGCGUCUGCUGGAGGAGGAGGCGCAGGAGCAGCAGGAGAGACAGGAGCGCCAGCGGCAGGCGGCUCAAGGCAUCCGACGCUUCCAGCAGCGAGUGAGCGGAGCUCUGUGUUUGAGACCGACGCUCGUGUUCACUCUGUUACUCAGUUGUUCUCUCUCUCGUCAGGAUUCACGCGCCUCGAGGAAAAACUGCAGGAGAAGCAGAGUAAAGAGCAGGAGCAGAGCGAGCGGCAGAGGGCGCUAGAUAAACUCAAGGAGAAGGUGGCGGUUCACAUCGGCCGGGAUCCGUCCCGACUCUGGAGGCUCACUGAAGCCUGGCAGGAGCGCAGUAAAGAGACCGGCCCGUCUGGGACCGGACCCGUGUUUCAGAUCUUCCACAGAGCUGUUCCAGCGUGGAGACAAGACUCGUGAGCGAUCCGCCGCUUCAGACCGAGCACAUCAGCUGGAAAAUGUGUCCAAGUGAACAGCAGUGUAAAUAAAGUAAUGCUACGUUCAGCACCAAAGCUUCGAAGCUUGUAUCAAAAACCAGCACGUUUCACAUCGAAGCAUGUUAUCGGAGCUGGAUUGGUUUGGUCAAACGCGCGAGAUCUGUGACGUCCGAAGCUUCGUUCGCAUGAAAACCACGCGACUGCUUCAGUAUCUGCUUCAAACCAAGCCAACCUCAGCCUUCAUGGAGGACAAGAUCUGCCUCUCGAAGAACUGAUAGAAGAAGACAGCCCAGAUUGUACGUUUAAUUUAAGGCCUUUAAUUUAGUUUUAGUGAUGCACCGAUCAUGACUGAUUCAGAUUCAGUUUUUUUAAUCUAGUAAACUGGCCGAUACUGAUACUGGAGGCUGAUUUACUGUAAUUGCUGUAAUACGCAGACUACAGCUCUCGGCUGAAUAAAAGAAGCCAGUGUCUAGUAGCCUAAAGCUUUGAUGGACGACGAUUGUAAGCAAGAUAAAGAUGAUUACAGUAGCAGACAGGAGCCGUGCAUUAGGCGCGUCGUGUCCUUUAUAAUCGAUGCGCUGUCAGCGCACUGAUCACUGCAACAUCACAUAACAUCAUACAGCUCAGUAUAUUCACGUGAAGAUCGCUGAGUUCAGAGCGGUUUCAUUUUUCACUUGUAUUUUGGUGUGUUUAGUGAUUCUGAAUGCCCCCGUGCAGUAGUUCAUAUGCAGUCCUUUGGCGUCUCCCUGUGCUAUUGUGUGUAUGGCAGGUUGACUUGCUUAUAUGCUAAAGUUACUAUAUAACUGAGCUUUACAUACUUUUAUCUGCAGUGACAUUUUAGCAAAGUAUGUUUGCAGAAAAGAACACGGAAUGGUUCAAUCUCUCUUGAAUUUGGUUUUGUUUAAAUACAUGUCAUUGAAAAGUAAUAACAAAUACAAAGGUUUUAGUGAAUAGAAAAGUUUGGGUUUGUAUUUAUAGAAAAGUUUGUAUCUUAUUAUUGAUUUAUUGUUCACUUGGUAGAUCUCAGUGAGUUUCUCAUUCAAAAUAUUCUUUGCUGUCUUUCUGUAGGCCUACAAUGAAAGUGUUAUAAUUAGUAACUUACGAUGUUUUUAUUAAAUUCACAUUAAAUACAAAGUCUUAUUAAAAAUAUUUUAUGACAUGACACCCAUAUCUGGAACAAGGUUUUAUGCAUAGAUCAGACUAACAUCAAGCUCCUUACCCGUCGCCUAGCAGCUAACA